rnacentral:rRNA from 1 species
UACGGAGGAUCCAAGCGUUAUCCGGAUUUAUUGGGUUUAAAGGGUGCGUAGGCGGCUUAUUAAGUCAGGGGUGAAAGACGGUGGCUCAACCAUCGCAGUGCCUUUGAUACUGAUGAGCUUGAAUAUACUAGAGGUAGGCGGAAUGUGACAAGUAGCGGUGAAAUGCAUAGAUAUGUCACAGAACACCGAUUGCGAAGGCAGCUUACUAUGGUAUUAUUGACGCUGAGGCACGAAAGCGUGGGGAUCAAACAGG